rnacentral:rRNA from 1 species
GUGAGGAAUAUUGCGCAAUGGAGGCAACUCUGACGCAGCCAUGCCGCGUGCAGGAAGAAGGCGCUACGCGUUGUAAACUGCUUUUAACCGGGAAGAAACCCCAGGACGUGUCCUGGGUUGACGGUACCGGAGGAAUAAGCACCGGCUAACUUCGUGCCAGCAGCCGCGGUAAUACGAAGGGUGCAAGCGUUAUCCGGAUUCAUUGUGUUUAAAGGGUGCGUAGGCGGAGCGUUAAGUCAUUGGUGAAAUCCUGCAGCUUAACUGUAGACUUGCCAUUGAUACUGGCGCUCUUGAGUGCGCUUGAAGUGGGCGGAAUGUGCCGUGUAGCGGUGAAAUGCUUAGAUAUGGCACAGAACACCAAUUGCGAAGGCAGCUCACUAAGGCGAUACUGACGCUGAGGCACGAAAGCGUGGGGAUCGAACAGGAUUAGAAACCCUAGUAGUCC